rnacentral:rRNA from 1 species
GACGAACGCUGGCGGCGUGCUUAACACAUGCAAGUCGAACGGAAAGGCCCUGCUUGCAGGGUACUCGAGUGGCGAACGGGUGAGUAACACGUGGGUGAUCUGCCCUGCACUUCGGGAUAAGCUUGGGAAACUGGGUCUAAUACCGGAUAGGACCGCACUUUAGUGUGUGUGGUGGAAAGUUUUUUCGGUGUAGGAUGAGCUCGCGGCCUAUCAGCUUGUUGGUGGGGUAAUGGCCUACCAAGGCGGCGACGGGUAGCCGGCCUGAGAGGGUGUACGGCCACAUUUGGACUGAGAUACGGCCCAGACUCCUACGCGAGGCAGCAGUGGGGAAUAUUUCACAAUGUGCGCAAGCCUGAUGCAGCGACGCCGCGUGGGGGAUGAAGGCCUUCGUGUUGUAAACUCCUUUCUCUAGGGACGAAGCUUUGUUGUGACGGUACCUAGAUAAGAAGCACCGGCUAACUACGUG